rnacentral:rRNA from 2 species
GUGCGAGACCGAUAGCGAACAAGUACCGUGAGGAAAAGAUGAAAAGAACUUUGAAAAGAGAGUUAAAGAGUACCUGAAACUGCUGAAAGGGAAGCGAAUCGUAUCCAGUGUCUAUAAUCUGCGGCAUAUUUCAUUGGCGGCGGUGCGCGUGCUUUUGCGUCGGAAGCGGCUUUUGUUGCUCUGUGCUUUUGCUGUGCGUGGUGUUGCUGGUGCCCUGUGUUGUGGUGGGACGUCAGAGUCAGUUUGUAUGCUGCGGGAAAUGGCUGCCGAGGAGGUAGGUCGAGAUUUCGGUCUUGGCUGUUAUAUCUUGGUGGUUUGUUGUCGUGGUUGAGACUGAGGUGCCUACAAUGUGCUUUUGAGUGCGCCGGGUUCUCAUUUGGUGGACUGUUUGGAUAGCUUGCUAUGCUUGUGGUUUUUUCAUCGGGUGAUUGAGUCUGGUGGUAACUUGUUGCUGUUCGGGACUUUGA